rnacentral:rRNA from 1 species
GACGAACGCUGGCGGCGUGCCUAAUACAUGCAAGUAGAACGCUGAAGAGAGGAGCUUGCUCUUCUUGGAUGAGUUGCGAACGGGUGAGUAACGCGUAGGUAACCUGCCUUGUAGCGGGGGAUAACUAUUGGAAACGAUAGCUAAUACCGCAUAACAAUGGAUGACACAUGUCAUUUAUUUGAAAGGGGCAAUUGAUCCACUACAAGAUGGACCUGCGUUGUAUUAGCUAGUAGGUGAGGUAACGGCUCACCUAGGCGACGAUACAUAGCCGACCUGAGAGGGUGAUCGGCCACACUGGGACUGAGACACGGCCCAGACUCCUACGGGAGGCAGCAGUAGGGAAUCUUCGGCAAUGGGGGCAACCCUGACCGAGCAACGCCGCGUGAGUGAAGAAGGUUUUCGGAUCGUAAAGCUCUGUUGUAAGUCAAGAACGAGUGUGAGAGUGGAAAGUUCACACUGUGACGGUAGCUUACCAGAAAGGGACGGCUAACUACGUGCCAGCCGCCGCUGUAAGAC